CCUACGGGAGGCAGCAGUAAGGAAUAUUGGUCAAUGGACGCAAGUCUGAACCAGCCAUGCCGCGUGAAGGAUUAAGGUCCUCUGGAUUGUAAACUUCUUUUAUUUGGGACGAAAAAAGGGCCUUUCUAGGUCAACUGACGGUACCAGAUGAAUAAGCACCGGCUAACUCCGUGCCAGCAGCCGCGGUAAUACGGAGGGUGCAAGCGUUAUCCGGAUUCACUGGGUUUAAAGGGUGCGUAGGCGGGUAGGUAAGUCAGUGGUGAAAUCCUGGAGCUCAACUCCAGAACUGCCAUUGAUACUAUUUAUCUUGAAUAUUGUGGAGGUAAGCGGAAUAUGUCAUGUAGCGGUGAAAUGCUUAGAUAUGACAUAGAACACCUAUUGCGAAGGCAGCUUACUACGCAUAUAUUGACGCUGAGGCACGAAAGCGUGGGGAGUCAAACAGGAUUAGAUACCCUGGUAGUCCACGCCCUAAACCUAUGAUUACUCGACAUUUGUGAUACACAAUAAGUGUCUGAGCGAAAGCAUUAAGUAAUCCACCUGGGAAGUACGUCCGCAAGGAUGAAACUUAAAGGAAAUUAGACGG
rnacentral:rRNA from 1 species